AAUCCCCAUUCCUCAAUUUCCCCACCACCCAUCUUCAUUUUCAAGCUUUCUUCCAUCAUGUAUUCCAGUACGUACACAAUCGUGUUACUGCUCGCAUUUCCAUAGUCCAUCAGAGCUCGCCGGCUCGCCGUCAGCUUCUCAGUUUCCCAUCGAUUAUGUUCUGGGUAUCCGGAAUGAAUUUCUGGGUUGCUGUGUGGAGCUCAAAAAGUGGCCGUUCAAUGCCCAAAACAGGGUCUGUGCCAAUUAGCAUCGCCCCUGCACCAUCCCCAAAUAAUGCCACGCCUACCAGAUCGUAUGGACGAUUUGCACUCGGUGGCUUGUAGCUGUAAAGGAUGUUUGCAUUUUGUUGGAUGAUAUAAUAUUAAAUUUAUCGUUUACAUUUAAAUUUUUGGUCAAUUGGUGAUUUAAGAUAAUAUCGGUAGUUUAGGAGGUCAUAUGUUUAAACUCUUGCAACAUUAUUUCCUCUUCAAUUAAUAUUGAUUUUCACUUGUUGGGUCUUCUACA